CCGGAUCUUUUAUUAGAAAUUCAGUUAAUAACUUAUAGAAUUCAAGCAAUGGGUUUAUUAGUUAUAUUUACAUGGAUACCGUCACAUAUAGGAAUAAGAGGGAAUGAGUUGGCAGAUAAAUAUGCAAAACAAGCUUCAAAAUAUAGUGUUAUUGAUAUAUUAGUUCCAUUUAGUAAAGAAGAAAUCAAAUCUAUUAUUAAACAAAAGGUUAAGGAAAGAUGGCAGAGACAGUGGGAGGAAGAUAGAACUGGUAGAUGGCUGUACAGUAUUCAAAGAAAAGUUGGUGCAAUGAGGAGAACAGGACGAAAUAGAAAGGAGGAAACAGUUAUAUCUAGGUUGCGUUUUGGACAUACAAGGUUAAACAGUAAUUUAUUUAAAAUAGGAAAACAUCGAAAUGGAAGUUGUGAUUUUUGUGGUCAAGAAGAGACGGGGGGUGUUUAAAGUUAGCGUCCCGAUCCACACUCCAUUCCAGUAGAUGGCGGUAAUGCACAUCUAAAAGUUGCUUGCCAACCGCCAUAAAAAAA